GGCGAUGUAGCUCAGAUGGUGAGAGCGCACGACUCAUAAUCGUGAGGUCGGGGGUUCGAUCCCCCCCAUCGCUACUA
rnacentral:tRNA from 39 species